AUCACCUACUUUAUCUCUGUGGUUGGAUUUCAAGUCUUCAUAACUCAUCCCAACUAAAAAUUGCCACUCUGAGCUGAAUCGAAAGGCUGAUAAGCUUAGUAACUCCUCGGUCCCCAGUUGCCUUGUCAGCGAGAUGGAGAUAAACCACCUUGCCCAACAGACUGAGGCAAGAACAAAUAUGGCUGUCCUUGGAACCAUGGGAGACCCUGAGAACAAAAGCCCAGAGUUCCCUCCAACUGUAGCUCCCAAGUUAGAGGCCAGCAGGCUGGGCAAGCUUUUCA